GAUGAACGCUGGCGGCGUGCUUAAUACAUGCAAGUCAACUUGACUUUAGAUAGCAAUAUCGAAAGUAGGGUGGCGCACGGGUGCGUAACGCGUAGGUAAUCUGCCCUGAGGUCUGACAUAACCCGUCGAAAGGCGGGCUAACAUCAGAUGAUAUAUAGUCACGACAUCGUGGAAAUAUCAAAAUCUUCGGAGCCUUGGGAUGAGCCUGCGUCUGAUUAGGUAGUUGGCGGAGUAAUAGCCCACCAAGCCUACGAUCAGUAGCUGGUCUGAGAGGAUGAUCAGCCACACUGGAACUGAGACACGGUCCAGACUCCUACGGGAGGCAGCAGUAAGGAAUAUUGCUCAAUGGGGAAACCCUGAAGCAGCAACGCCGACGUGAAGGAUGAAUACUUUGUAUGUAAACUUCUAGUAAGAUGGGAAAAUA
rnacentral:rRNA from 1 species